AGGAGAAGCAUGGUGGUGAGAGACAGCCCUCACAGGAAAGAAAUUCUAGAGGCGGAAGAGGGCACAGAAGUGAUAAAAGAUGUUUGAGUCUAAGUUCGUUGUCUCACAAAAUUGAAGAAUGAAGUCGUGGACAAAAAUGGUUAACAGGAGCAAAGUCUGAGAGAAACCAGCCCUGGAAAAGGUGCAGCUGGGGUUCCAG